rnacentral:tRNA from 1 species
GGCCCCGUCGACUAACGGUUAGGUCACUGGCCUUUCACGCCAGCAGUGGUGGGUUCGAAUCCCCCUGGGGUCACCA